AAAUGCAGAGCCGGGAGAUGGAGAAGUAGAUAAGAGGCUGCUAGUCUGAUGAGACAGAGAUGUUAAUCCCAAGACAGCAAAGGAAGAGGUCCUAGGAAGUAUGCGAGAGUCCAUACCUGCAGCAGGAGGAACAUUUGAUCAAGGAGGAAAGACGUUGGGCCUUGUUUCCAGAAGAUUCUGCAUACAUCCUGGCUUUGACUGGAAGUGGACGUCUGUGGGGUCUCCCUGAAAGACAGUGAAGACCAGAUAUGCAAGCAAAACUUUGGGGUUUCUGCCUUGUUUAGACUGAUGAGAGACUGGACUAUGGGUCGACAGAGGAUUUGUAGACCGGUGCUUCAGCUCAGAGACUACCCAAUCUCGCCAUUGUUUGAUUUUGCGCUGAGCCCUGCGUCGAGCCUUGACGUGGCACCACCCAAGACCGCGGAAACGAGCUGCGUACUCAGGUCUGUUGUGGAAGGGACGUGUCAUGGAGAUGGCUUUGCCUUGCUUGGUCACCAUGCCUCUGCUGGCCUGUUGUCCAUGGACUUUGAGAACAUCUUCAGUGUCACCGUGUCACACUGCUUGUCGUCAGCUAAUUCUUUCUGUCUUUGUCUUUCUCAGAACAGUAAGAAGGAGAUCAUCUACGGGCUAGGAAAAGAGGUCCUACUGUACAAGAAGUCAACCCUGCCAGCACCUUGA
rnacentral:lncRNA from 1 species